UCUCCGUAGGUGAACCUGCGGAGGGAUCAUUACUGAGUGAGGGCUCACGCCCGACCUCCAACCCUUUGUGAACACAUCUUGUUGCUUCGGGGGCGACCCUGCCGUUUCGAUGGCGAGUGCCCCCGGAGGCCUUCAAACACUGCAUCUUUGCGUCGGAGUUUAAGUAAAUUAAACAAAACUUUCAACAACGGAUCUCUGGGUUCUGGCAUCUAUAAAGAACGCAGC
rnacentral:misc_RNA from 1 species